UACGUAGGGAGCAAGCGUUGUCCGGAAUCAUUGGGCGUAAAGCGCGCGUAGGCGGCCCUGUAAGUCCGUUGUGAAAGUCAAAGGCUCAACCUUUGAAAGCCGAUGGAUACUGCAGGGCUAGAGUCCGGAAGAGGCGAGUGGAAUUCCUGGUGUAGCGGUGGAAUGCGCAGAUAUCAGGAGGAACACCAAUAGCGAAGGCAGCUCGCUGGGACGGUACUGACGCUAAGGCGCGAAAGCGUGGGGAGCAAACGGG
rnacentral:rRNA from 1 species